GGAGGGGUGCUAGUUUAUGUCAGAACCGUCAUUGAUUACAGUCUCUGUUCAGUCCCUGGUCCAGUUUGCCUGCGGGUCUGACAGCAGCCACGCCCUGGAACAGUCUCUCCACAUCAGCCUGAACUGCCUCGGGUUGAGUGAUAUCGUGAUAAAUACAGUGCAUUAUCAAGGGGAUCCCACUCUCUGAGCAUGGAGCUUGGCCAAGAAGGCAGCCUCUGGGUCUCCAAGGCCACUGCUCUGCAUUGCAAGUCCCAGUGUCAGCCCCUGUUUCCCAGAGCACCUCCAACACCAGGGAAGCAAAAACUGGUGGGGCUUGUUGCAUGUGCUAUGGCACAAGCCACAGACUGGCUGAAAUAGCGUCUUAAUAACUGUUAAGUUCUGGCAUUGGAGGGAGCACUUUUCUUAAACUUCUCAUGCGAAUUUAUCUAGCUUCCGUCAGCAAUGACCUGGGCCUCAGAACAAGGCUGCCCAGAGUCAGCUGCCCUCUAUCAGUUAUUUAUUUAUCAGUUAGCUAUUUUUAAAAUCUUAUGAUCAGAAAUUAUCAGUGCUUUACUAUAUCUAUGUAUUAUAUUUAUUUUUAGCUUUACAUAUUUAGUGAGUUUUCCCUGCUUUGCUGCCUCCCACCUCCCUAAUCUAUAACCAGUGGAUUUUAUUUAACCCCUUUAUGUCUCCUCUUUUGAUUGUAAUGUAUAAAAUAAGGGGCAAAGCUGCCAUUCUCUGGGGCAUUUUCUCAGUCCCUUGAGACUUUGUUUCCCCGCAAUUGUCAACAGUUUGGCUCAAAAAAACUCACAAAAAUUC